GGAUAUGACGCCCACAACUCAAAAGGGAGGCUUAGAAGCUAUGGCGUCCUUCCCACUGGCUUUAUCGCUGGUGUUGACAGGAUUCUUUUUUGCAGCCUUGUCAUUGAGGCAAGCUCGCUAUGAUCUUCGGCACUUGUUCUUUUCUAUCCUGUGGGCAAGCCUGAGCAUAGCUAUAGCAGGUUUUGUAAGGGCCAAUGGUCGGAUUUUCUGUAAUCGGCCUCGUCUGCACAAACCUCGAUCAUGAUUUUGGUUCCAGAGAUUGGCGAAUUCAGCUAACCAUUCAUUGAAAUUCAAAUUUUC
rnacentral:misc_RNA from 1 species